rnacentral:rRNA from 1 species
UGGAUGCUGAAAGCUGAUAGUACUUGAAACCUUCGGGGGACGAGAUAGUUCAGGUAAUCAGACUUCCAAGAAAACCCGCUAAGCUUCAGGUUAUAAAAACCCGUACCGUAAACCGACACAGGUAGUCGAGGAGAGAAUCCUAAGGUGCUCGAGUGAAUCAUGGCUAAGGAACUCGGCAAAAUGGCCCUGUAACUUCGGGAGAAGGGGCGCUGUCAGCAAUGGCAGCCGCAGUGAAAAGGCCCAGGCGACUGUUUAACAAAAACACAUGGCUUUGCAAAAUCGAAAGAUGACGUAUAAGGCCUGACACCUGCCCGGUGCUGGAAGGUUAAGAGGGGAUGUUAGGAGCAAUUCGAAGCAUUGAAUCGAAGCCCCAGUAAACGGCGGCCGUAACAAUAACGGUCCUAAGGUAGCGAAAUUCCUUGUCGGGUAAGUUCCGACCUGCACGAAUGGUGUAACGAUCUGGGCGCUGUCUCAGCCAUGAGCUCGGUGAAAUUGUGGUAUCGGUGAAGACGCCGGUUACCCGCAACGGGACGGAAAGACCCCAUGCACCUUCACUACAACUUAACAUUGAUAUCGGAUACAGGAUGUGUAGGAUAGGUGGGAGACUGUGAUCCAGCUUCGCUAGGAGUUGGUUAGUCAACGUUGAAAUACCACCCUUUCUGUAUUUGGUGUCUAACCCUGCAAAGCGGGGGACAUUGUUUGGCGGGUAGUUUGACUGGGGUGGUCGCCUCCAAAAAGGUAACGGAGGCUUUCAAAGGUAAGCUCAGUACGCUUGGUAACCGUACGCGGAGUGCAAUAGCAUAAGCUUGCUUGACUGUGAGGCAGACAAGCCGAGCAGGGUCGAAAGACGGAUAUAGUGAUCCGGUGGUUCUGCAUGGAAGGGCCAUCGUUCAAAGGAUAAAAGGUACGCUGGGAUAACAGGCUGAUCUCCCCCAAGAGCUCAUAUCGACGGGGAGGUUUGGCACCUCGAUGUCGGCUCGUCACAUCCUGGGGCUGGAGAAGGUCCCAAGGGUUGAGCUGUUCGCUCAUUAAAGUGGCACGCGAGCUGGGUUCAGAACGUCGCGAGACAGUUCGGUCCCUAUCUGUUGUGGGCGCAGGAAGUUUGAGUGGGGCUGACCUUAGUACGAGAGGACCGGGUUGGACUAACCUCUGGUGAAUCUGUUAUGGCGCCAGCUGUAUUGCAGAGUAGCUACGUUGGGAAUAGAUAAGCGCUGAAAGCAUCUAAGUGCGAAACUAGCCACAAGAUGAGAUUUCCAUUGAGGGUCGUAGGAGACUACUACGUUGAUAGGUUACAGGUAUAAAGGUGGUGACAUCAUAGCCGAGUAAUACUAAUUGCCUAA